rnacentral:tRNA from 2 species
GGGGCCGUAGCUCAGUUGGUAGAGCGCCUGCUUUGCAAGCAGGAUGUCGCAGGUUCAAUUCCUGUCGGUUCCA